GGAGAACAGGUUUCUGAGUGGUGGUGGUGGCCGUACCAGCAUGUGUAGAAGGACUUCAGGAGGGAAAGAAUUGGGUGUGUUCUGGAAGCAGAAAGUUUGGCAAACCAGCCAGGAGACCUCACUUGGAUGCGUACUGCUCACCACAAAGCUGCUGCAGUAGAACAAUCCUGGGACCUCUGAGAAGAGCUGGCCAGAGGUGAUUCCCAAAUAAGAAAAAAUAUUGAAACAUUAAUUGCUAAGGGCAUCUAAGUUUGCCAAAUUUUGUCUUCUUUUAUGGAGAAGAUGAAGAUAAAUUUGGGUCUAUG